UACGAAGGGGGCUAGCGUUGCUCGGAAUCACUGGGCGUAGAGCGCACGUAGGCGGAUCUUUAAGUCAGGGGUGAAAUCCUGGAGCUCAACUCCAGAACUGCCUUUGAUACUGAAGAUCUUGAGUUCGGGAGAGGUGAGUGGAACUGCGAGUGUAGAGGUGAAAUUCGUAGAUAUUCGCAAGAACACCAGUGGCGAAGGCGGCUCACUGGCCCGAUACUGACGCUGAGGCACGAAAGCGUGGGGAGCAAACAGG
rnacentral:rRNA from 1 species